rnacentral:rRNA from 1 species
CCUACGGGCGGCAGCAGUGAGGAAUAUUGGGCAAUGCCGAAAGGGUGACCCAGCAACGCCGCGUGGAGGAUGAAGUCCUUCUGGACGUAAACUCCUUUUAGAGGGGACGAAAAGCCCGAUUUGUCGGGAAUUGACGGUACCCUCAGAAAAAGCACCGGCUAACUACGUGCCAGCAGCCGCGGUAAUACGUGGGGUGCAAGCGUUGUCCGGAUUCACUGGGUGUAAAGGGUGCGCAGGCGGGCUCUUAAGUCAAAGGUAAAAUCUAUCGCCUUAACCGAGAAAUUGCCUUUGAUACUGAGAGCCUUGAGUACGGGAGAGGGAGAUGAAAUUCCAGGUGUAGCGGUGAAAUGCGUAGAUAUCUGGAGGAACACCGGAGGCGAAGGCGGUCUCCUGGCCCGUUACUGACGCUCAGGCACGAAAGCGUGGGGAGCAACCAGGAUAAGAUCCCCUGGUAGU